GCAGACUUUGUUCUUCCAUAGUGGGCAAUUCGCAUCUUUCGCUGCACUUGCAUAAUGGCCAUUUGUUCCCUUCUUGCUGCUGCUAUGCUCCCUGGAGCCUCAACUAUCAAAGAGGAAGAGUAAUUCAAUGAACUAGUGUCAGAAGAAGGUGCUAAUCCAGCACUGCAUUUUUUUGUCUUCUUCGGUGAACUAGAGGAUUUGGUGGUUCCUCGUGGUGUUAACACCUUCUCAAGACUAGAAUUCAACCCGUUAGGAUCAUUUCCUCUCUUAAGUGCUGGUUGCCUAGGUGAUUUUAAGUUGGGAGAGGCUGGAGGAGUUAAUGAAGGCUUGGUUUUAGUAGUAUUAAUAAUAGUAGUUGGUGGCGGGGGAGAUGCAGGUAGUGGAGAAGUAGGAGAUUUUGGGGAGAUCUUCUUAAAUGAAUGAUGCCUUUCUAGG
rnacentral:lncRNA from 1 species